rnacentral:tRNA from 1 species
GCCAGCGUAGCUCAGUCGGCAGAGCAUUCCCAUGGUAAGGGAAAGGCCGCCGGUUCGAUCCCGGCCGCUGGCU